AAUUUGUAUUCAGUAUAAAUGCUAUAAAGCAUAAAUGUUGCCAGUAUCGUGUCUUCUUUUAAAACUUCAUAGUGUCUGAUAUCGCUUAAACUCACUCAUUGGGGGAGUUUGGAUAAGAUAUUAGGCGUAGGUUAUUUACUGAUCUGAUCAAUGUAAUAUGCAUUGUGAUGACUGAAGCCUCUAUGGUUAAGUAGAAGAAGAAAAGGCAUGAUAUAAGUAGAUCGAUAAAUCUCUGCCCCGCCUUGAAACACGGACCAAGGAGCCUAACGUGUACGCAAGUCUCUUAGAUUUAAUAAGCUAAGUGGCAUAACGAAAGCAAGUAAUGUUAUUAUGUACAAUUUUAACAUGGUUACGAUGUUUUGUUUGAAAAGACAAAAUAGCAGUAACAAUGCGAUUCGUACGAGUCGUAUUAGAGCGUAUACGGUAGUACCCGAAAGAUGGUGAACUAUGCUUGAGCAAGGUGAAGCCAAAGGAAACUUUGGUGGAGGCCUGCAGCAGUUUUGACGUGCAAAUCAAUUGUCAGACUUGAGUAUAGCGGCGAAAGACUAAUCGAACCAUCUAGUAGCUGGUUUCCUCCGAAAUUUCCCGCAGGAUAGCAAGCAUCUAUAUCCAUUUAAACCUGUUACAGUCUCAAUAGAAGGUAACGGGGCGUUAAUUGACCUUGUCCUUUUCUUAAACUCGGUCAAUGGGUUUUUUUAACUACAUGCUAACUGCAUGUAGAUUAAGUUUAAUGGUGGUGCUUAGUGGGCCAUUUUUGGUAAGCAGAACUGGCGAUGCGGGAUGAACCGUACACAGAGUUAAGGUGCCAAAGUUUAAUACGCUAAUCAGAUCCCACUAAAGAUGUUGUUCGCUUAAGACAGUAGGGCGGUGGCCAUGGAAGUCGGCAUCCGCUAAGGAGUGUGUAACAACUCACCUACCGAAGCGUUCAACUCUGAAAAUGGAUGGCGCUUAAGCGUUACACUGAUACUCUGUCGUAGUAGUAAUUCCAUAAUAAUACAUAAUUUAAAACCGAACGUUUUAAAGUGUAUAUUAAACUUCUACGAGUAGGAGGAAUGUGAUGACAGUGUUGAAGUUUUGAGCGUAAGCUCGAAUGGAACUGUUGUUAGUACAGAUCUUGGUGGUAGUAGCAAACAAACAAGUGACAACCUUGUUGACCGACGUGGAUAAGGGUUCCAUGGGAACAGUAAUUGGCCAUGGGUUAGUCGAUCCUGAAGAGUGACGUGAAAACGUUUUCGUAAGAAGCAUUUCUUGUAAAUGCACUCUGAAAGGGAAUGAGAUUAAUAUUUCUCAACCUUGAUCAUGCAAUUUAAGCGGCAACGCAAUCGAACUCAGAGACAUCUGCCAAAUUCCUGGAUAGAGAUAUCUUCUCUAUUUUAAGGUGUGCUGAAGUGCCUUGAAUCAGUUUAGCUGGAGACAGGCAUAUAUGCACCGAAUAGCAUUGCGCUUCAAGUAAUGUAUACAGUGUAUUUUGGUUGAUCCUUGAAAAUCUGGGUUAGUAUUUUAAGGCAUGACAAGAUCGUACCUAGCUCCGCAACAGGUAUCCUAGGUGAACAGCCUCUGGUCUAUUAGAAGAAUGUAGGUAAGGGAAGUCGGCAAACCUGAUCUGUAUCUUUGGUACAAAGGUUGGCUCUGGCGUGUUUGUUUGAUUUGCUUUAACAAGUAAAUUGGAAUAGAUUACUUGGACUGGUUGUAGUAAUAUGACUGGCACUUGUUUUCAGUUCUUAUUGAAAGUUAUUGUGAGUCUUGCAAUUAAAACAAUUAGUCAGAACUAUCAUUGACUGUUCGGAAUCUGACUGUUUAAUUAAAACAUAGCAUUGAGAUGACCGGUGACCCGGUGUUGACUCAAUGUGAAUUCUGCCCAGUGCUCUGAAUGUCAACGUGUAGAAAUUCAAUGAAGCGCGGGUAAACGGCGGGAGUAACUAUGACUCUCUUAAGGUAGCCAAAUGCCUCGUCAUCUAAUUAGUGACGUGCAUGAAUGGAUUAACGAGAUUCCAUCUGUCCCUACUUACUAUCUAGCGAAACCACAGCCAAGGGAACGGGCUUGGCCAGAUCAGCGGGGAAAGAAGACCCUGUUGAGCUUGACUCUAGUCUGGCAUUGUGAGGAAACUGUAUCUGGUAUAGCAUAGGUGGGAGGCAAAGCAAUUUGUCGUUAUCAACUGUAAAACCACCACAGUACAGCACCACUCACUGACUUAGUUAUGAGGCUUACUUAACCGGUUUUCGGAUUGGUUAAGGAACUUUAUAAUUGCAAAUAAAGCAGAUAUGGUAAUUUGCUUGCAAAUUACAUAUCAUACCUGUGAGGCAUUAUCUAAGGACAGUGCCAGGCGGGGAGUUUGACUGGGGCGGUACAUCUAUCAAAUGCUAACGUAGGUGUCCUAAUGUUAGCUCAGUGAGACCAGAAAUCUCACGUAGAAUAUAAGGGUACAAGCUGGCUUGAUUCUGAAUAUCAGUGCGAUUGCGAGACAAGAAAUUGUGGCCUAACGAUCCUUUUGAAAAGCGAAAUAAAAUUGAUGCAUAAUACAAGAGGUGUCAGAAAAGUUACCACAGGGAUAACUGGCUUGUGGCAGG
rnacentral:rRNA from 1 species